rnacentral:tRNA from 1 species
UGGGGGGUCGUCCAGUGGUAGGACGGCAGAUUCUGGAUCUGCUUACCGGGGUUCGAAUCCUCGCCCCCCAGCCA